GCCUGUGUGGUGCAGUGGUUAGAGUGUCGGGCUUAGACCCGGGAGAGACCAGGGUUCAAAUCCCUACUUGGCCA